AAUUUUCCGCAAUGGGCGCAAGCCUGACGGAGCGACGCCGCGUGAGCGAAGAAGGCCUUCGGGUUGUAAAGCUCUGUCUUCAGGGACGAAAGCUUCCCAGAGGGAACGCUGGGGCGAUGACGGUACCUGACCAGGAAGCCACGGCGCACUCCGUUCCAGCCGCCGCGGUAAUACGGAGGGGGCGAGCGUUGUCCGGAAUCACUGGGCGUAAAGGGCGGGCAGGCGGUCAGGUAAGUCAGAUGUGAAAAUCCGGGGCUCAACCCUGGAGAUGCAUUCGAAACUGGUAGGCUGGAGACUGGGAGAGGGUAGCGGAAUUCCUGGUGUAGCGGUGGAAUGCGUAGAUAUCAGGAAGAACACCAGUGGCGAAGGCGGCUAGCUGGGCCAGAUCUGACGCUGAUGCGCGAAAGCGUGGGGAGCAAACAGG
rnacentral:rRNA from 1 species